rnacentral:tRNA from 1 species
GCCGCAGUAGCUCAGCUGGUUAGAGCGCCAGUCGCACGAUCUGGAGGUCGGGUGUUCAAUUCUCCCCUGCGGCA